rnacentral:tRNA from 1 species
GCCUGGAUGGCUCAGUGGUUGAGCAUCUGCCUUUGGCUCAGGGCACGAUGGGGGAUCGAGUCCCACAUCGGGCU